UACGUAGGGUGCAAGCGUUAUUCGGAUUUACUGGGCGUAAAGAGUGUGUAGGCGGCUUUAUAAGUUAGAUGUUAAAUAUACGGGCUCAACCCGUCUGCUGCAUCUAAGACUGUAAGGCUUGAGAGUGGAAGAGGCAAAUGGAAUUUCUGGUGGAGCGGUUAAAUGCGUAGAUAUCAGAAGGAACACCAAUGGCGAAGGCAGUUUGCUGGGCCAUUUCUGACGCUGAGACACGAAAGCGUGGGGAGCGAUCGGG
rnacentral:rRNA from 1 species